rnacentral:rRNA from 1 species
CAGAAUAAGCACCGGCUAACUACGUGCCAGCAGCCGCGGUAAUACGUAGGGUGCGAGCGUUAAUCGGAAUUACUGGGCGUAAAGCGGGCGCAGACGGUUACUUAAGCAGGAUGUGAAAUCCCCGGGCUCAACCUGGGAAUUGCGUUCUGAACUGGGUGGCUAGAGUGUGUCAGAGGGGGGUAGAAUUCCACGUGUAGCAGUGAAAUGCGUAGAGAUGUGGAGGAAUACCGAUGGCGAAGGCAGCCCCCUGGGAUAACACUGACGUUCAUGCUCGAAAGCGUGGGUAGCAAACAGGAUUAGAUACCCUGGUAGUCCACGCCCUAAACGAUGUCGAUUAGCUGUUGGGCAACUUGAUUGCUUAGUAGCGUAGCUAACGCGUGAAAUCGACCGCCUGGGGAGUACGGUCGCAAGAUUAAAACUCAAAGGAAUUGACGGGGACCCGCACAAGCGGUGGAUGAUGUGGAUUAAUUCGAUGCAACGCGAAGAACCUUACCUGGUCUUGACAUGUACGGAACCCUCCAGAGACGGAGGGGUGCCUUCGGGAACCGUAACACAGGUGCUGCAUGGCUGUCGUCAGCUCGUGUCGUGAGAUGUUGGGUUAAGUCCCGCAACGAGCGCAACCCUUGUCAUUAGUUGCCAUCAUUUAGUUGGGCACUCUAAUGAGACUGCCGGUGACAAACCGGAGGAAGGUGGGGAUGACGUCAAGUCCUCAUGGCCCUUAUGACCAGGGCUUCACACGUCAUACAAUGGUCGGUACAGAGGGUAGCCAAGCCGCGAGGCGGAGCCAAUCCCAGAAAACCGAUCGUAGUCCGGAUUGCACUCUGCAACUCGAGUGCAUGAAGUCGGAAUCGCUAGUAAUCGCAGGUCAGCAUACUGCGGUGAAUACGUUCCCGGGUCUUGUACACACCGCCCGUCACACCAUGGGAGUGGGGGAUACCAGAAGUAGGUAGGCUAACCGCAAGGAGGCCGCUUACCACGGUAUGCUUCAUGACUGGGGUGAAGUCGUAACAAGGUAGCCGUAGGGGAACCUGCGGCUG